UCUUUGUUCUCCGACUCCACCCUAAAGCCCGAGGGUGGUGGUAUUUCAACCCUCGGAAGGAUCUCUCCUUUAUCACUGGUCUUCCGUCGUUGAUUCAUGGAUGGAAGAACCAGUUCUUCUUUGUCUCUUCUUCCGUUCCUUGGGGGUUCCCCUCCCGCUGGGGGGACCACCAAACCCAACCAAACGAGAACACUCGGGUGGAGGC
rnacentral:lncRNA from 1 species